CUAGGGGAGCCGUAGAGAAAUCGAGUCUUAACUGGGCGUCGAGUUGCUGGAUAUAGACCCGAAACCAGGUGAUCUAGCCAUGGGCAGGUUGAAGGUUGAGUAACAUCAACUGGAGGACCGAACCGACUAAUGUUGAAAAAUUAGCGGAUGACUUGUGGCUAGGGGUGAAAGGCCAAUCAAACCUGGAGAUAGCUGGUUCUCCCCGAAAUCUAUUUAGGUAGAGCCUCGGACGAAUACUACUGGGGGUAGAGCACUGUUAAGGCUAGGGGGUCAUCCCGACUUACCAACCCUUUGCAAACUCCGAAUACCAGUAAGUACUAUCCGGGAGACACACGGCGGGUGCUAACGUCCGUCGUGGAGAGGGAAACAACCCAGACCGCCAGCUAAGGUCCCAAAUUACAGCUAAGUGGGAAACGAUGUGGGAAGGCUUAGACAGCUAGGAUGUUGGCUUAGAAGCAGCCAUCAUUUAAAGAAAGCGUAAUAGCUCACUAGUCGAGUCGGCCUGCGCGGAAGAUGUAACGGGGCUAAGCUGUAAACCGAAGCUGCGGCAAUGCCUUUAGGCAUUGGGUAGGGGAGCGUUCUGUAAGCCGUUGAAGGUGUGUCGUAAGGCAUGCUGGAGGUAUCAGAAGUGCGAAUGCUGACAUGAGUAACGAUAAAGGGGGUGAAAAACCUCCUCGCCGGAAGACCAAGGGUUCCUGUCCAACGUUAAUCGGGGCAGGGUAAGUCGACCCCUAAGGCGAGGCCGAAAGGCGUAGUCGAUGGGAAACGGGUUAAUAUUCCCGUACUUCUUACAAUUGCGAUGGGGGGACGGAGAAGGCUAGGUGGGCCUGGCGACGGUUGUCCAGGUUCAAGUGCGUAGGCUUGAGAGUUAGGUAAAUCCGGCUCUCUUUAAGGCUGAGACACGAUGUCGAGCACCCAAGGGUGUGAAGUCAUUGAUGCCAUGCUUCCAGGAAAAGCCUCUAAGCUUCAGAUUGUAAGGAAUCGUACCCCAAACCGACACAGGUGGUCGGGUAGAGAAUACCAAGGCGCUUGAGAGAACUCGGGUGAAGGAACUAGGCAAAAUGGUACCGUAACUUCGGGAGAAGGUACGCUCUUGACGGUGAAGUCCCUUGCGGAUGGAGCUAUUGAGAGUCGCAGAUACCAGGUGGCUGCAACUGUUUAUUAAAAACACAGCACUGUGCAAAAUCGUAAGAUGACGUAUACGGUGUGACGCCUGCCCGGUGCCGGAAGGUUAAUUGAUGGGGUUAGACUUCGGUCGAAGCUCUUGAUCGAAGCCCCGGUAAACGGCGGCCGUAACUAUAACGGUCCUAAGGUAGCGAAAUUCCUUGUCGGGUAAGUUCCGACCUGCACGAAUGGCGUAAUGAUGGCCACGCUGUCUCCACCCGAGACUCAGUGAAAUUGAAAUCGCUGUGAAGAUGCAGUGUACCCGCGGCUAGACGGAAAGACCCCGUGAACCUUUACUACAGCUUGGCACUGAACAUUGACCCUACAUGUGUAGGAUAGGUGGGAGGCUUUGAAUCCGGUACGCCAGUAUCGGUGGAGCCGUCCUUGAAAUACCACCCUUGUAGUGUUGAUGUUCUAACUUAGACCCGUUAUCCGGGUUGAGGACAGUGCCUGGUGGGUAGUUUGACUGGGGCGGUCUCCUCCCAAAGAGUAACGGAGGAGCACGAAGGUGGGCUAAUCACGGUUGGACAUCGUGAGGUUAGUGCAAUGGCAUAAGCCCGCUUGACUGCGAGAAUGACAAUUCGAGCAGGUGCGAAAGCAGGUCAUAGUGAUCCGGUGGUUCUGUAUGGAAGGGCCAUCGCUCAACGGAUAAAAGGUACUCCGGGGAUAACAGGCUGAUACCGCCCAAGAGUUCAUAUCGACGGCGGUGUUUGGCACCUCGAUGUCGGCUCAUCACAUCCUGGGGCUGAAGUCGGUCCCAAGGGUAUGGCUGUUCGCCAUUUAAAGUGGUACGCGAGCUGGGUUUAGAACGUCGUGAGACAGUUCGGUCCCUAUCUGCCGUGGGCGUUGGAAGAUUGAAGGGGGCUGCUCCUAGUACGAGAGGACCGGAGUGGACGAACCUCUGGUGUUCGGGUUGUCAUGCCAAUGGCAUUGCCCGGUAGCUAAGUUCGGAAUCGAUAACCGCUGAAAGCAUCUAAGCGGGAAGCGAGCCCUGAGAUGAGUCUUCCCUAACCCCUUGAGGGUCCUGAAGGGUUGUUCGAGACUAGAACGUUGAUAGGCAGGGUGUGUAAGCGUUGUGAGGCGUUGAGCUAACCUGUACUAAUUGCCCGUGAGGCUUAACCAU
rnacentral:rRNA from 1 species